rnacentral:rRNA from 1 species
UCCUAGCUGUAAAGCAUGCGGGCCAGGUGUCUAGUGCUCCUCGAGGGCACUAGGUGCCGGAGGGAAGCCGUUAAGCCCGCCGCCUGGGAAGUACGGCCGCAAGGCUGAAACUUAAAGAAAUUGGCGGGGGAGCACCACAAGGGGUGGGACCUGCGGUUCAAUUGGAUUCAACGCCGGACAACUCACCAGGGGCGACAGUUGUUUGAAGGCCAGGUUGACGACCUUGCCCGACUAGCUGAGAGGUGGUGCAUGGCCAUCGUCAGCUCGUACCGUGAGGCGUCCUGUCAAGUCAGGCAACGAGCGAGAUCCUCGCCCUUAGUUGCCAUCAGUGGGAAGCUGGGCACUCUAAGGGGACCGCUGGCGCUAAGCCAG